CCUUAUGGAUGAGCAAAGAAAGCAGUUUCUCAAGAUGGAGUCUACUCUUGAUGAAGAUGCUAUGAA
rnacentral:pre_miRNA from 4 species